UGCUCUGGGAAUCCACUGCCCUGGGAGGGGCGGUCCCUCCCUAGUCAGCAAGGCCCUGGAUGUGCACACAGCACUCACAGGGAGCAGACAACUUGGGUAACACAGGACCUUUUACACUGAAUGGAGGCCUUGGCGUAUCUGGGUUAUAACCUAUUAUCUUGUGGCUAUUUCUCAUUCAUCGAAUUUCUUUGUUUAUUUUCCCUCUCUCUUUUUCUGCCUUCUUUUCAAUUGUUAUAUGAUUAAACUGUAUAUCCACGUUUGGCUAUUAUACUUCCGUCUAAAAUAUUUUUAAGCGGUUGUCCUGAGGUUUACAGCAUACAUCUGUGAUUAAUUACAUCUCUAUGCCAAUAACACAUCACUUCAACACAUAGUGGAGGGAUCUUCCAAGAAUAUGCUGCCAACACUGUCCAAUGUCUCACUGCGUAAAUGACGUUCUGUUGGGUGGGUGGCCACAGGUUUCCAGCUUAGUGUCUCUGCUUCCUGUGACAUCAACAGUCAGCAGGAGUGACUGAUGAAUCACAACAAAACUCACAGGCCUGUUUGCCAGGUGAAGUUUCUUGAACAAUGUGGGUGGAGUCACAAAACUGAAUUCCUCUGGCAGUCAAAGAAUAAGGCUGCCUUUUACAAAGUAAAGAACUCAAUCGUCCUGGUACUAAAACCAGCGCUGUGUGCCAAACUCGUAACUCCUGUGAAAAGUUGGUCCUUGUUUGUCUUACAGUAAAAAAAGCCACACUCCAUGGGGCUCUGGCUCUACUUGCUCCUGCACCAGAUCUUUGAUUGCUCCUAUCCAGGUUAAGGCGGUGCUUCACGGCUGUCUUUUUUAGGUUACCAAGUUGCCGUUUCCACUGACACUGGUCCUACUACAGUCCUUGAAACUAGUCUGUUGAUCCAUUUGAAGGACAUUCCGCACACCCAGGUAGCUGAUCCUGCUGAUGGCAUUGUGGAAACAGAUGUUCUAAGGAUGAGUAACACUGCUCCUGACCGUGAGGGAUGCUCCCACUGGGCAAAGGCCAAGGUUAGGACAGCGGCAGUGGGACAAGUGCAGAGCUGGGAACCUACGAGGCUCCCCUGGCUCAGCUGUGUGAUGGCAGCAAAGCAGUACAGAAGACAAGGGUGGAUGGGGGAAGAGACCACCACCACCAACUGAAGAGCUGGUAGAUGCAGAAGUGCUUAAAGAAACCCCUCAACAGGCUGUGUAGACUGAACUUCUGCUCAGGCCAGUUAGUCCUAAAGAGCCUUUAAAUUACAAGUGUUGGUGACUGAUAGUUAUACAGACUGGAGCCUGUGGCAGAACGAUGGAGCCCCUAGGCAAGGAUCCCCUUGUAGGUACGGACACAGCACUUUCCUGAUGCUGCCACCUGGCAUAGUCCAUUUGAGAGCAAUUACUGGCUUGUUAUUGGGCAUCAAUGAACACUGAGAAACUCAGAAAGCAACAGCAGGGAUUGUUACGGCCUGACAUCCCUAUCAUGGGAUGGGUAAAAACCAAAAAUGUCACCAAAAAGGAUAUUGCUCAGAAAAGAUGUAAACUGGGCAUUAAUGGAGUCCAACAUCUACAGGAAAAUGUGGAGUCACCUUCCAGAUGCAGCUAGGUCAGAUCUGGAGGUCUGUGUCAGAGCUUCUAGUGGCUUUGGUAGAACUAAGGUUUCUGAAGGGGCCUAGUCUUGAUUCAUGGGUAGAUCAGUGAAGUUCAGGGCAGAUGAAUGCACUGGGCCCAUGCAGCUGUUCAGCCUCAAAGAAAUCUGUUUAAAACUAGGCAUGAAAAAUGGUACUCUGCCUGAGGGGCAGAGUUGUGGACUGUGGGGCCUUGCCCAGGAAAAUACUCCCUAAAAUUCACCCUGUUACUUUUUUUACUGGCUCAUGGGCAGAACAUAGUGGACUGGGAAUGUGGUCUGAUGCCUGGCAGUGGAACAACUCGAUGAUCACAUCUCAGUCUUUGUGGGGCAAACAUGGCAACAGAUUGCACAGGACCCACAGCCGCUGCUCAUGAAUCAUGUGGAUACCCAUGGAAAAGGACCAUUCAAGGAUAAACAUCAUUGUAAUGAACAAGUUAAUCAAACCUGUACUACCCAGUUAAGAACCACAGCCUUGCGGAUGAACCAUCACUCAGGGCCUGGUAAUCCAUCUACCAUUCAGGAUCAGGCCCCAAAAUAAUGUGUAGUGAUUCCAGAACUUGAGGCCAAGGAAGCCUGGCAAAUGUGCCUGACUGCCAGCUCCAUAGUUGAGUGACAAAGGGAACUCUGGGGCACAUAACCAGGGGUGCCAUCUCUGUCUGCACAGCAUACGUGGACCAUACUAUUCAAGGACUGUUAGAUAGAAUAUGUUACAUAUUUGGAUUCCCUAAGCACAUCCAAUCAACAGUGAUUCUGCCUUAUAGUAGGAACUACCCAGCAGUGGAUAGCUACCUGAAACCCUCACUGGACAUUUUAUGCCCAGUAUCCUCUCCAAGCAGUUGGGGCCAUAGAAAGAUGGAAUGGACUCUUAAAGGAAAAACUGAAAAGGAUAACUGGACAACCAGGCUCAGCUCCCAGUGGAGCACACACUUAAGAAAGGCAGUUUGGGCUCUAAAUAGGGCAAUUCCAAGGAAGGGUAACUUUUAUGUAGAUAGAAUGUUUAAUUAUGAGGUUAGGGAAUGAGGGAGGAGGCCCAGACUGGCUGUAAGACACUCAAACCACAAAAGUAAUCCUUCUCAUCCUUUUUUUGUUUCCAUGCCUACUCCUGAGAAAUCACUCUACUAGAAUUUUCAAGUUGCAAAGAGGAGCCAGACGCUUUUGUUUGUAGGGCACCGGCCAAUUUAACCCAGACUGCUGGCACCAUCCUCAACUUGAUCAAUGGCCAAUGAAAAAUCUUAAUCUAAGAACUCUUAGAAACCCUCCAACAACUGCCGACUCCAGGAGUGAACGGCCUCCACUAAAGAUGACGGAACAAGAGGAACUUCCUGGACUCUGGCUCUACCCUAGUGACCUUACAUACAGCCACACAGGCCCUGCAGGCAAGGUUAGAACUGCAGGGAGUCGGAGUCUUGGCGGAACCCUUUGUGAUCCUCCUGGAGCAGGACAGCCUGGGAGGCUCGUGAGGAGCUGCUCAGAUGUCGUCUCCCAUUCAUCUCCCUAAAUUUCCCAGGCAAGUUUUAUGAGCUAUGCAGCUUUAUUGCCCCAGCUGCCCUCAGGGUAUUGCUGUCGACUACAAACCAUUCAACUGCAGUCUAGAAUUGGCUCCUGAACUAAAAUGUGUCCUAUCAUUUGUGAUGAAGUCAUCCGAUUCCUUUUACUUCACCUUGUAUAGAGGCCUUGGGGAGCUGGCA